AAAAUUUUUCCGAAAGAAAAAAAAAUCUGUUAUCAGUUUAAAAUCUGAUACGUCCCCUAUCCGGGGACUACAUAUUAAAUUGAUUUUUGGAUCAUGGAGCUGGACCCGGGGCUUGAUCUGUCCACUCCACGCAUCGGCCUAGUAUUGCAGUAUCUCCAGGAAUGGUGUGCUUCCC
ensembl:snRNA U2 U2 spliceosomal RNA